rnacentral:rRNA from 1 species
CCUACGGGAGGCAGCAGUGGGGAAUUUUGGACAAUGGGCGAAAGCCUGAUCCAGCAAUGCCGCGUGAGUGAAGAGGGCCUUCGGGUUGUAAAGCUCUUUUGUCAGGGAAGAAACGGUGAGAGCUAAUAUCUCUUGCUAAUGACGGUACCUGAAGAAUAAGCACCGGCUAACUACGUGCCAGCAGCCGCGGUAAUACGUAGGGUGCAAGCGUUAAUCGGAAUUACUGGGCGUAAAGCGUGCGCAGGCGGUUUUGUAAGUCUGAUGUGAAAUCCCCGGGCUCAACCUGGGAAUUGCAUUGGAGACUGCAAGGCUAGAAUCUGGCAGAGGGGGGUAGAAUUCCACGUGUAGCAGUGAAAUGCGUAGAUAUGUGGAGGAACACCGAUGGCGAAGGCAGCCCCCUGGGUCAAGAUUGACGCUCAUGCACGAAAGCGUGGGGAGCAAACAGGAUUAGAUACCCUGGUAGUCCACGCCCUAAACGAUGUCUACUAGUUGUCGGGUCUUAAUUGACUUGGUAACGCAGCUAACGCGUGAAGUAGACCGCCUGGGGAGUCGGUCGCAAGNUUAAAACCGNGAAAGAUUGACGNNGAGAGNGCGAGGACGACGACGAGGGAGGAGG